rnacentral:rRNA from 1 species
UACAGAGGUCUCAAGCGUUGUUCGGAUUCAUUGGGCGUAAAGGGUGCGUAGGCGGGCCUUUAAGUCAGGGGUGAAAUCCUGGAGCUCAACUCCAGAACUGCCUUUGAUACUGAAGAUCUUGAGUUCGGGAGAGGUGAGUGGAACUGCGAGUGUAGAGGUGAAAUUCGUAGAUAUUCGCAAGAACACCAGUGGCGAAGGCGGCUCACUGGCCCGAUACUGACGCUGAGGCACGAAAUCGUGGGGAGCAAACAGG